rnacentral:misc_RNA from 1 species
AACCAUUCUCACCUGCGGCUAGACCUGCGGAAGGAUCAUUACCGAGUUUACAACUCCCAAACCCCUGUGAACAUACCUAUACGUUGCCUCGGCGGAUCAGCCCGCGCCCCGUAAAAAGGGACGGCCCGCCCGAGGACCCCUAAACUCUGUUUUUAGUGGAACUUCUGAGUAAAACAAACAAAUAAAUCAAAACUUUUAACAAUGGAUCU